rnacentral:misc_RNA from 1 species
UACGGAGGGUGCAAGCGUUGUUCGGAAUUACUGGGCGUAAAGAGCGUGUAGGCGGUUUGGCAAGUCAGAUGUGAAAGCCCUGGGCUCAACCCAGGAAGUGCAUUUGAAACUGCCAUCCUAGAGUAUGGGAGAGGAGAGUGGAAUUCCCAGUGUAGAGGUGAAAUUCGUAGAUAUUGGGAGGAACACCCGUGGCGAAGGCGACUCUCUGGACCAAUACUGACGCUGAGACGCGGAAGCGUGGGGAGCAAACAGG